GUGAACCUAGGGGAAAAAAGAGCAACAUUAGUUAACUAUCUAGAAAUGUGUUACUUGACAAUAAGAUCAAUUUAUUUGAUAUAACCCAUUAGGUUCUCAAAUUAUAUUUCACCACCUUUCAUGUAGGCACAUAGAUGUUCAGAAAAAAAUGAUGUAUUACGGGAGCAUGCACCAUGGUUAGAGCUAGACGUGUCUGAUCCAACCUCUGUAGAUUUUUGUAAAUUUAUUUAAUUCCCUAUGAGAGAAGUUACAUCCUCAUGGAUGGAAGGCAAGACUGACUCUCUGAUAGGGUCUGAAAGCAAAUACUAGCAAUUAAAAGCUAGUUACAAAAAGACCUGGAAGCAGAGGAAGUCAUAAAUCUUGCAACUGAAAGCAGCAACUUCAAGGCUGCGUCGGGUGGAGAAGGCAGCGGACUGUGGACUGUGGGAUCUGAGAGUCUAUAUGGACAUGGAUUCAGCCGGAGAAACUCAAAAGUCUUUAUUUACCAGUGGAAUAGACACCUCUGUUGGAACAAUUUCCUUCUACACUGGAAACCCACAAUCAGAUGGUGGAGAGCAAGAUCUACAGGGGGAGGAGAAGUGCCCUGAUCAAAACAUCCAACAAGAAUUCAGAGUGCCAAGGUCAGAAGCCAUGGAAAAUCCUCAGAAUUACACAGCUGCACUCUUCCUGAUACCUUGACUGUAGUCUUUGCUCUGUCUGCAGGAAAUAACCUGAGCCACACAACAGGGCCUAUGUCCUUCUUGGGGACUUCAGGGCCCUUUCCUUCAACUCUUCUUCCUCCUCUGAAGUCAAAAUGGUCUGCUGAAUCAAAGGAGGACUCAGCAAGCAAUCAGAGAUCCAUUCCAACUCAUCCACUGGUACAUCUGCUUCAUCUUCUGAGAGAGAUGAACUCUCAAGGGAUGACAUCAUUUUUCUCACCAUGGCUCCCCUCCACAAAGCAGAGGGGUCCCAGUUUCACUGGAUAGUAUUGGUGGAAUUGCUAGCCCCAAGUCUGGAGCAUGGACAUUGGAGACAUCUUGCCAAGAACAUCCCUCCAGCCUACAUUCAACCCAAUCCACUCAUUGACAACCAGUUAAGUAUGAACCAACGAUGUGAUGAGGCAGCUAAAAGCCAAUGGGAGUUUGGCCUGCACUAAUAGGAGUAUAGUGUCUAGAUCCAGGGAAGUCAUGCUACCCCUCUAUUUUGCCUUGGUGAGACCACACCUGGAAUACUGUGUCUAAUUCUGGGCACUGCAGUUUAAGAGAGAUGUUGACAAAGUGGAAUACGUCCAGAGGAGGGCGACUAAAAUGAUCAAGGGUCUGGAAAACAAGCCCUAUAAGGAGCAACUUAAAGAACUGGGCAUGUUUAGCCUGCAGAAGAGAAGGCUGAGAGGAGACAUGAUAGCCAUGUAUAAAUAUGUGAGGGGAAGUCAUAGGGAGGAGGGAGCAAGCUUGUUUUCUGAUGCCCUGCAGACUAGGACGCGGAACAAUGGCUUCACACUACAGGAAAGGAGAUUCCACCUGAACAUUAGGAGGAACUUCCUCACUGUGAGAGCUGUUCGGCACUGGAACUCUCUGCCCCGGAGUGUGUUGGAGGCUCCUUCUUUGGAGGCUUUUAAGCAGUGGCUGGAUAGCCAUCUGUCGGAGGUGCUUUGAAUGCGAUUUCCUGCUUCUUAGAAGGGGGUUGGACUGGAUGGCCCAUGAGAUCUCUUCCAAAUAUAUGAUUCUAUGAUUAUUUAAGUACUAUAGGUGACCACAGUGAUGGGAAUCACCCAUGAUCUCAGCUACCUCAUAUUAUUCCUCAUCAUCCACUAUUAUGAAACAUAGAAAAGCAGACAUUGUCCCAAUCUGAAGGUCAGGAGGUUGUAUUUGCAACUUGUUAUCAGCAGGCUUAUUUGGCCCACCCAAUCUAUUCCUGGAGAAGGGCAUGCAUUGCUUGUAGUUCCUUUUGGAAAUUAGUCUGCUGCUGGAAAUGAGAAAACUGGGAGGGUAUUCAUAAUUUGCAAAGAAAAUAUUCUGUGAGAUAGAAAAGUGGUACAAAUUGUUGUAAGCUAAUUCAGGAGGGUGUAGCAAUUCUGCCCAGUUAUCCUGCUGGUAGUUUAUAUAGCACCUUUGUUAUCAUUCCAGUAUGGUAUUGGAAUGUUCUGUUUGCCUGAUACGCUGAUGAGAUGUGAAAACGACAGAAUUGAGUCUGUCAGAACAAGGCUAUGAAUUGGGGGCCAUGAUAUAACACAAAAUCCAUUGGUAAUUGAAAAAUGCUCUGGAAAAACAAGCCUGUAGUGUCCUUGGCAGAAGAGAUUAUUUGUCUUUCUAGGCAUAUAAAGUAAGCCAUCUUUGGGAACCAGUCAUCAUUAAGAUGGUGUUAUUGUCCUUCAAGGGCAAAGAAAUCUGUGAUGAAAUCCAGGGAUAGUAUUUUCCAGUGCCCUAGGAGCUGGUAAGCUAUAGCAAACCUGCUGGCUUGCUAGGUAGAUCCUAUGCUUGAUGGCAGUUUGGGCAGGUGUAAUCAUAAUAGUCUAUGUCUACUUAAAGGAAUCAGAAAUCCUAAAUCAUAAGGUGGAGGGUUUUAAACAGAACAAACUGCUCUGCAGCCUAAUUAUUGUGGCACUGAUAUAUAACAUUCAUGGCAGGAAGCCUGAGGAAAUGUAAAGUUGAUUGUAAUGAUACAGAAGUAAAUUCCAAACAGUAUACCUAAAUUUUUCCCUAUGUGGCCAUCAUGGUCACACUAGAGAAACGUCAGACUUGAGAAAAAACACUGUGAAUUUGAUGUUUAAAUUAGUCCAGAAAGUUGGAAAGUGUAAGUGCUGCAGUAAGUUCUCUGGCUAUUCAAUGACUGAGUCCAAUUCCUGGUCCUUCUGUGUCAUAUAUUCAGAUUUCCUGGAAGGGGCAUUGGUUAGCCAGUUCUGGGAACUGAGAAUAUAGGUGACUUUGGAAUCAAAUCCGGUCACGAACUGUGACCUAUUUGUUACUGAUUAAUUUGGUUGGCUGAUUAAGCUGUCUGGAAAGAUCCCAGCUUGCAGCAAUCAGUGUGAAGUUGUAUUGGGUGCAUAGUGACCCCCCAACAAAUGCCACCAUGUUUCAAAUGCUGCCUUUAUCCCAGAUAAUGCAAUGCCUUUAAAUAUGAGUCUACUGCUACUGCAAAUGCCAACAUCAGAGCUAUUCAUCUGACAACAUACCAGGGAUGUUAUUCAUUGUACAUGUAACAUUUGACAUUCACCUCAAAAUAGGGAGGUAAGGUUUUCUUGUUCUUUUUGGCAAUGUCACCCACAAUUUCCAUGGCUUUGGCAUUCUGUCCUCGGGAGAGCAGCCAUCUGGGAGAUUCGGGAAGGCACCUACAGGAAUCAAGGCAGCAGAAUAGCAAAGGGUCCUAUUCCAGAGGAGAGCCUGUAGCAGAGAGACUCACAGCAGAUGGCAAUACAGGCAUGCUUGUAUUUCAGCCUUCUCGGUUUAUUCCAUUUGUGUUAAAACAAACUGCCAAGCAUCACAACAGAACUAUAAUUGAAACUUUGCCAUGGUCCUUUAUUGGGGCCAGGCAAUCUUAUACUGAGGCAUGCAGAUAAGCCCAAUUUCCCGUGUGAACUCAUGUACAUAGUUGGGCGGGGAGUUGCCUGGCUGUGUUAAGCCCUCAUCAGAAUUGAACAUAGACUUCUCCAUAGCUCUUGCAUCAAACUUAGAAUAUUCACACUAUUAUGAUGGCUGAUUGCAUUAGACCUGUUUCCUGAAGCAUUGUGAAUAACAUGUGCAAUCUUUUAAUGACAUGUGCAAUCUUCAACCAGUCAUGCAUGUUGACAAAACCUCCCCUAAAUACCUCAUUUUAUCUGCUGCAGUUUCCCCAAACUGGCCAUUUACUUGCUUGUAAAGAACAGAGGAAGAUCCAAGUGUUGAGCUAGAACUCAGGAAGACCAGGAUUCAAAUCCUUCUUAGCCAAGAAAGCACACUAGGUGACUUUGGGUAAUUCACACUCUCUAAGCUUCAAAAGAAGAAGGCUAUGGCUAAUUGUUUCUGACCAAAUCUUUUUUUAAAAAACAUGAUAGGCCCACUUUAGGGUCCCCAUGCAUCAGAAAUGACAUGAAGACAUGCAAUGACAAUGAGAAUGGAGGGAAUGGAGCAAUGUCCAGCUAUGUUCCCUUAGCUAGAAAAACAGCCAUGAUGUCAUCCCCUAGGACCUCCAAAGGACUUCCGGAAGGUCCCAAAGGAUGCCCCGUACAGGAACAUAGCUACGAUAGGUAAACGGCUGACUGUCCCAUGGUGCCUUCAACAACUGUGACUCAAAGUGACUUUUUGCUAUAUAGACCCAGUACUUUACAGCUUUAUCUGAGGUUCAAUUUCUUGGCUGCAGAAUGUAGACAUUUUUUUCAGGAAGGAAUGUCAUAGCAGUAGGACAUUGGAGCUUAAGGUCAUCUUACCAGUAAUAGAGCAAAAGCAGAAAAGUUGGCAGAGUGACAGCAAGUUGAAGCCACCGCCAAUGGGGAAUUGCAUAAGCCAAAGCAUCAAGGAUCAGGAGACCAAUAGCAAAUGCCGCUUGAUAGAGAAUGGCCACAGUCCUCCGGUAGCUUGCACCAACAAUUUCUGUGACUACAAAAAUAAAGGAAUUGUUUCCACAUUA